rnacentral:rRNA from 1 species
CCUACGGGAGGCAGCAGUGGGGGAUAUUGCACAAUGGGGGGAACCCUGAUGCAGCGACGCCGCGUGAGUGAAGAAGUAAUUCGUUAUGUAAAGCUCUAUCAGCAGGGAAGAAAAUGACGGUACCUGAGUCAGAAGCCCCGGCUAACUACGUGCCAGCAGCCGCGGUAAUACGUAGGGGGCAAGCGUUAUCCGGAUUUACUGGGUGUAAAGGGAGCGUAGACGGCAGUGCAAGUCUGGAGUGAAAGGCGGGGGCUCAACCCCCGGACUGCUCUGGAAACUGUACGGCUGGAGUGCAGGAGAGGUAAGUGGAAUUCCUAGUGUAGCGGUGAAAUGCGUAGAUAUUAGGAGGAACACCAGUGGCGAAGGCGGCUUACUGGACUGUAACUGACGUUGAGGCUCGAAAGCGUGGGGAGCAAACAGGAUUAGAUACCCUAGUAGUC